rnacentral:rRNA from 1 species
ACCCCGGGACCUUUACUAUACCUUGGUAUUGGCAUUCGGUGUGGAUUGUGUAGCAUAGGCGGGAGGCCGAGAGGCGCGGUCGCCAGAUCGCGCGGAGCCGUAAGGUGAAAUACCGCUCUGUUCGCAUUGGAUGUCUAACCUCGAACAGUCAUCCUGUUCAGGGACAGUGCCUGGCGGGUAGUUUAACUGGGGCGGUUGCCUCCCAAAGAGUAACGGAGGCGCCCAAAGGUCCGCUCAGCCCGGUUGGCAAUCGGGUGGCGAGUGCAAGUGCACAAGCGGGCUUGACUGCGAGGACGACGGUCCGAGCAGGGACGAAAGUCGGGACUAGUGAUCCGGUGCCGGUGUACGGACGCGGCAUCGCUCAACGGAUAAAAGGUACCCCGGGGAUAACAGGCUGAUCAUUCCCAAGAGUCCAUAUCGACGGGAUGGUUUGGCACCUCGAUGUCGGCUCGUCGCAUCCUGGGGCUGGAGCAGGUCCCAAGGGUUCGGCUGUUCGCCGAUUAAAGCGGCACGCGAGCUGGGUUCAGAACGUCGUGAGACAGUUUGGUCUCUAUCCUCUGCGCUCGUUGGAAUCCUGAGGAGGCCUGCCCAUAGUACGAGAGGACCUGGGUGGACGAACCUCUGGUAUGCCGGUUGUCACGCCAGUGGCACGGCCGGUUGGCUACGUUCGGAAGGGAUAACCGCUGAAAGCAUCUAAGCGGGAAGCCUGCUCCAAGAUAAGCAUUCCGUGGAACCUUCGAGUUCCUGUAGUCCCCAUGCAGAACACGUGGUCGAUAGGCCGGACGUGGAAGCCCCGCGAGGGGUGGAGCCGACCGGUACUAACGGACGAAAGGCAACACUAA